GACGAACCGUGCGAACGUUGUUCGGAAUCACUGGGCUUAAAGGGCGCGUAGGCGGCUUGCCAAGUCAGGGGUGAAAUCCAGCAGCUUAACUGUUGAAGUGCCUUUGAUACUGGCGAGCUCGAGGGAGGUAGGGGUUUGUGGAACUUCUGGUGGAGCGGUGAAAUGCGUUGAUAUCAGAAGGAACGCCGGUGGCGAAAGCGACGAACUGGACCUCUUCUGACGCUGAGGCGCGAAAGCUAAGGGGAGCAAACGGGGAUUAAGAAACCCC
rnacentral:rRNA from 1 species